UGGUUGGAAUGUCAUAGGAAUUAAGAACAGGCUGCCAGGAGUGCUAAAGAAGUGAGACUAGCAUGACAAUGAAAACUGCAAGUCUGUGAGCUGCACAUCCUCCUUUCAGCAGAAAAAGGUCAUUUUAAAUCUGUCAGCUCUGCAGAGGAAGCCAAUACAUUUCAUAGCAGCUUGUAUCUCUAAAGGAAGUAGCUAUGGACCCCAAGUCAUCAUCCCCUCAGAAACAAACAGUGAGGAAUCGAUCCAAAUCCACCGACGAGAUCCAGCAAGCUAAGAAGGCUUUCCACACACCACAAAAGUCCCUGCCGGGAAAAACGGAACUGGAGAAACUGAAGGAGACCAGUGAAGUCUUGGAGACAUCAUCUUCAACUGAGGAAUUAAUUGGAGCAGAAGAGAACAGAGAGAACUGACAAAGAGCGAUUGGCUUGGCUACUUAUUCCCUCAAUGGGUUCAUUAUUUUUCCAGAAACCAAGAAAUCUUUGCAAACUUAUUUCUCUCUUAAUCCACUCAAACAGGACCAGGGUACCAUAUUGCAGGUGUGGUGGUAGGGCUUUGCCUUUUUCAUUCUUGUUAUUAUGUUACAAAUGCAACACUGAUGUAAUGCCAUUGUAAUGCCAGUUCACCUGUACUGAAUGUACAUUAACAUCAAAAUGACUUUGGCAUUGUUCAUGUGAAGUCUUGCCGUGAGUUGGCAUGAGUGCUUGAAUAGGUGACAUCUUACUAGCCAAGUCUUAUUCUGUGUUGUUGAAUGGAUUUUUCAAACCCUUAAAUAUGUUGUUCUUACCUUUUUUUUUAUUCCCCUUAUCAUUUUAGUCAUUUGUAAAGUCUUUGAAGAUAAAACAUGGGCAUAGCUCAAUUUUGCUCCGAAAUACCGUAUUUCUUCGAAUUUAAAACAAACUUUUGUAAACCAUCUUCUCAAAAAUGGCCUGCGUCUUAAAUUCAAGGAUAGUGGUGGGUGUAUUAAAAUCACUAACAAAAUAUGUGACUAUCCAAGUACACAAACAGCAACAUGACUGACUGCUGAGAAAAGAAGAACCAAAACGUUACUGCCUGAUCUCGUAUCAUCCAUGAUACAUUUUCAUAGAAGCGUCAUUAGCUUCCUGAGGAAAUCAAAGAGAAGCUUUUACAAUUUCAGCGUUUUGUUAUUAGGAUCUGUUCUAACAAACAGUGCCAAUUUGCAUGGGUCGGAAAUGCUAAUCAGUCUCCGUAUUUUUCGACAUACCAAGCACUACCGGUUCAAAAAAAGUGAGAAAAACAGAUGUGAGUAAUCACUACUGGAAAUGGGAAGCAGCACAUAGCUAAUGCUCUGCAUUAGUUAUUCUUUUUAAACUGUUUUGGUGAAAAGGGAGUUUUUAUGUUUAAGUUGGAUGUACAAAGUUCAUUUCAACGGAGUUGACUGUGCAGUGCAGCGUUUAUUUUUCCCCAUUCCUUCAUUUGGCCUGGCAUGGUUUCAGGCGAGUAAAUGUCUUUUACUAGUGUCACGAGCUGCGACUGUAAGUUUUGUUUUAUUGAUGUUAGUACUGUUAAUAUUACAUUACUGCUCAUCUUGUUUAUGUAUACCCAUUUGUACUAGUUUAUGUUGUGGAAUACGGGUAGGAGAGAGUUGUUUUAACCCAUGUUUACCUGUUUCAUGGUCCUAAAUUAUUAUUAUUAUUAUUUUUUGUUUUUUUAAUGCUGAAAAUCCAGACAAAAACUUAUCUAUAUAAAAACGCAUUAAAAAGACCAAAUUCCCAUUGGGCUUAUGUGAUUUUAGAUUCUAUUGAUUUUUUAUGUAUUAAUACGCCAUUAUAAGAUCGUUAUCUUUAUUAAAAAUGUGCAGGGAUCAAUCUACCGAUUAAUAUACCGAUUAUCAACUAAUGCCCAAAAAUUAAUUGAGUGACAGCCCUCCAAUUUUUCAAAUUGAGGGUGGGAAAUUUGGGCUGUGUCUUAAAUUCUAAGGAAUAUGGUAAUUAAAUCACACCUGGUGACAAUACCUGCAGGAUUAUGUUGAAGUUGAAGAGUGGUGUUAUUUACAUCUGGAAUUGAAUAGAUCAUGAAAAUAGCCCACCUGACAAGUUGUACUGGUAGAGGCAGUUUGGAACAUGGGUUUUUAAAGCCUUGCCUACUUCUAUUUUAUGUACCAUUUGUGCUCUAGUGUAGAACAAAGUCCAGCUGUAUGAAUUAGUUUGAAGUUGCCACUGAGCAAAUGUACAUGCCUUGUAUGUGGAAUAUAUGUUUAAAAUGUGGCUAUUUUAUGACUAAAACAUG